rnacentral:rRNA from 1 species
AGCAGCCGCGGUAAUUCCAGCUCCAAUAGCGUAUAUUAAGGUUGUUGCAGUUAAAAAGCUCGUAGUUGAAUUUCGGGAUCAAUAUGUCGGUCGUGCCUUCGGUACGUACUGGUAUCAUUGGUCUCUCCUUUCUGACGAACCAUGAUGUCAUUAAUUUGGUGUUAUGGGGAGUUAGGACUGUUACUUUGAAAAAUUAGAGUGUUUAAAGCAGGCUUUAGCUUGAAUACAUUAGCAUGGAAUAAUGAAAUAGGACGUUCGAACCUAUUUUGUUGGUUUCUAGGAUCAACGUAAUGAUUAAUAGGGAUAGUUGGGGGCAUUAGUAUUCAAUUGUCAGAGGUGAAAUUCUUGGAUUUAUUGAAGACUAACUACUGCGAAAGCAUUUGCCAAGGAUGUUUUCAUUAAUCAAGAACGAAAGUUAGGGGAUCGAAGACGAUCAGAUACCGUCGUAGU